rnacentral:lncRNA from 1 species
GCCAAGUAUGAGAUUUUGAUCACUAAAUUUAGGUUGUACUCCCUGGGAAGGGUACGAUGCUCCCUCCAAUGUGGGGUUCUCUCCAUAGGAGUACAAAACGUUGGACUCCAUGUAGCUCACAUGGUUUAUGUCGGCUGUAAGAACCUCCCAUGUCCAUAAGAGUUUAGUUUCUUGAAUUACCGAGUCACUCCGAGUCUUG